rnacentral:rRNA from 1 species
GACGAACGCUGGCGGCGUGCCUAAUACAUGCAAGUCGAGCGGACAGAAGGGAGCUUGCUCCCGGAAGUCAGCGGCGGACGGGUGAGUAACACGUGGGCAACCUGCCUGUAAGACUGGGAUAACUUCGGGAAACCGGAGCUAAUACCGGAUAGGUUCCUCAUCCGCAUGGGGGAAGAUGGAAAGACGGUUUCGGCUGUCACUUACAGAUGGGCCCGCGGCGCAUUAGCUAGUUGGUGGGGUAAUGGCCCACCAAGGCGACGAUGCGUAGCCGACCUGAGAGGGUGAUCGGCCACACUGGGACUGAGACACGGUCCAGACUCCUACGGGAGGCAGCAGUAGGGAAUCUUCCGCAAUGGACGAAAGUCUGACGGAGCAACGCCGCGUGAGCGAAGAAGGCCUUCGGGUCGUAAAGCUCUGUUGUUAGGGAAGAACAAGUGCCAGAGUAACUGCUGGCACCUUGACGGUACCUGACCAGAAAGCCACGGCUAACUACGUGCCAGCCGCCGCUGUAA